UACGUAGGGUCCAAGCGUUAUCCGGAAUCACUGGGCGUAAAGCGUGCGUAGGUGGCGCGUUAAGUGAGAUGUUAAAUCGUGUGGCUCAACCAUAUCGAUGUAUCUCAUACUGGCGUGCUAGAGGACAGCAGAGGCAAGUGGAAUUUGUAGUGUAGCAGUGAAAUGCGUAGAUAUUACAAGGAACACCAAUGGCGAAGGCAGCUUGCUGGGCUACUCCUGACACUGAGGUACGAAAGCGUGGGGAGCGAACAGG
rnacentral:rRNA from 1 species